rnacentral:rRNA from 1 species
UUCGUAGGCGGUGCGGCAAGUCGGGAGUGAAAUCUCUGGGCUUAACUCAGAGGCUGCUUCCGAAACUGCCGUGCUCGAGUGUGGGAGAGGCGCGUGGAAUUGCAGGUGUAGCGGUGAAAUGCGUAGAUAUCUGCAGGAACACCCGUGGCGAAAGCGGCGCGCUGGACCACAACUGACGCUGAGGAACGAAAGCUAGGGGAGCAAACAGGAUUAGAUACCCUGGUAGUCCUAGCCCUAAACGAUCAGGACUUGGGGUGCCUUCCGUUCGGAAGUCGUCCCGGAGCUAACGCGUUAAGUCCUGCACCUGGGGAGUACGGUCGCAAGACUGAA